CAACAGGGAUUGCCCUAGUAACGGCGAGUGAAGCGGCAACAGCUCAAAUUUGAAAUCUGGCUCUUUCAGAGUCCGAGUUGUAAUUUGCAGAGGGCGCUUUGGCUUUGGCAGCGGUCCAAGUUCCUUGGAACAGGACGUCACAGAGGGUGAGAAUCCCGUACGUGGUCGCUAGCUAUUGCCGUGUAAAGCCCCUUCGACGAGUCGAGUUGUUUGGGAAUGCAGCUCUAAAUGGGAGGUAAAUUUCUUCUAAAGCUAAAUACUGGCCAGAGACCGAUAGCGCACAAGUAGAGUGAUCGAAAGAUGAAAAGCACUUUGGAAAGAGAGUCAAACAGCACGUGAAAUUGUUGAAAGGGAAGCGCUUGCAGCCAGACUUGCUUGCAGUUGCUCAUCCGGGCUUUUGCCCGGUGCACUCUUCUGUAGGCAGGCCAGCAUCAGUUUGGGCGGUGGGAUAAAGGUCUCUGUCACGUACCUCUCUUCGGGGAGGCCUUAUAGGGGAGACGACAUACCACCAGCCUAGACUGAGGUCCGCGCAUCUGCUAGGAUGCUGGCGUAAUGGCUGUAAGCGGCCCGUCUUGAAACACGGACCAAGGAGUCUAACAUCUAUGCGAGUGUUUGGGUGUCAAGCCCGAGCGCGUAAUGAAAGUGAACGGAGGUGGGAACCCGCAAGGGUGCACCAUCGACCGAUCCUGAAGUUUACGGAAGGAUUUGAGUAAGAGCAUGGCUGUUGGGACCCGAAAGAUGGUGAACUAUGCUUGAAUAGGGUGAAGCCAGAGGAAACUCUGGUGGAGGCUCGCAGCGGUUCUGACGUGCAAAUCGAUCGUCAAAUUUGGGCAUAGGGGCGAAAGACUAAUCGAACUAUCUAGU
rnacentral:rRNA from 1 species